rnacentral:rRNA from 1 species
GCUAAUACCGCAUACGUCCUACGGGAGAAAGCAGGGGACCUUCGGGCCUUGCGCUAUCAGAUGAGCCUAGGUCGGAUUAGCUAGUUGGUGAGGUAAUGGCUCACCAAGGCGACGAGCCGUAACUGGUCUGAGAGGAUGAUCAGUCACACUGGAACUGAGACACGGCCCAGACUCCUACGGGAGGCAGCAGUGGGGAAUAUUGGACAAUGGGCGAAAGCCUGAUCCAGCCAUGCCGCGUGUGUGAAGAAGGUCUUCGGAUUGUAAAGCACUUUAAGUUGGGAGGAAGGGUUGUAGAUUAAUACUCUGCCUUUUUGUGUUACCGACAGAAUAAGCACCGGCUAACUCUGUGCCAG